UACAGAGGUCUCAAGCGUUGUUCGGAUUCAUUGGGCGUAAAGCGCGCGUAGGCGGCUCGGAAAGUCGGGCGUGAAAUGCCGGGGCUCAACCCCGGGACUGCGUCCGAUACUUCCGAGCUGGAGGUAGGUAGGGGAGAUCGGAAUUCCUGGUGUAGCGGUGAAAUGCGCAGAGAUCAUGAGGAAGACCAGUGGCGAAGGCGGGUCUCUGGACAGUUCCUGACACUGAGACACGAAGGCCAGGGGAGCAAACGGG
rnacentral:rRNA from 1 species